GUCCACACCGUAAACGAUGGUCACUAGUUGUCGGGGGAUUCGACCCCCUCGGCAACGACGCUAACGCAUUAAGUGACCCACCUGGGGAGUACGCUCGCAAGGGUGAAACUCAAAGGAAUUGACGGGGCCCGCACAAGCGGUGGAGCAUGUGGUUUAAUUCGAUGCAACGCGAAGAACCUUACCUGGGCUCGAAGUGCAGUAUAAACCCAUGAAAGUGGGCUAUCCCUUCGGGGAAUGCUGUAUAGGUGCUGCAUGGCUGUCGU
rnacentral:rRNA from 1 species